CUCUAAUGUAUGUGUGAUGGAGAGCGCGAACUGUAUAAACAUUCACGUAACUGCUUUACGACUUGUACGAUAUAGAAUGAUAAUAAAUGGCGGGCGAGUUACGCGGUCACCACCGCCGCCAUUUGGAUCCUCUUAACGACACGAGGGAAUAAAAAAAAACGUAAGAACAAAAUUGGGCAUGCGAUGUUUUGACUCUGUCGGCUGUCAAAACCAAAUGAAGCCCGAUUCAACUUCGUCGAGUCCCUAAAAAAUAACGUUACGACACCGCCAUUAGGUACGUUGUCGAUUAAAAUAAAGAAUGAUACGAAAAAUAAGGAAAAAACAAAUUAUCCGUUUGAUCGAGCUUGAGUCUCGACCGUAAGUUCAAAUUAUAUCCUCAGAAAUUUCUGAGUGCUUAUUAAGUGCUACAAAAUUGAAACACUUGACUGAAGGAUUAAAGCAAAAAAAAUUUCUUUUUUUUCUACAGCGUUCGAAGGCCCUCAUCGAAAGAAUCGGGUCCUGGACGGAACUUGUAUACAAUUCUUUUCUCGAUGACCUCGGCACAGUGUGUGAAAAGAAAGUCGGGUUGGUCGUACAAAAACCUUUGGCUCUCGACAAAAGAUUGUUACGAAGAAAAAUGAUUGGUGUCGAGGGAGCAAUUGUAGCUGUCAGUAUAUUGUUGCUUUUCUUCUGGCACGAAGUCUCACCACGAAACAUCGUGACGUGCACUGCCAAGUUGAGAGAAAAAGAAGAAGACGGAGCGAGAGAAACACGUGCGGAAAUGAUGUCCAUAAGGAUGUGUCUCGGAAACGCGUUUAGUGGCCUUUCAUUCGACGUCUUUUCAACGAGUUUUUUUCUCCUCGGAGCAAAAGAACGUCGGCCAUUUCGUACUUACUGGGACUCCGAAGUGCCAGAGAACCGGAAACAACAGAGACUUUUAAUUUUGCGGUUGAUUCAUUCUGACGAUUUUGCGGACGAAUUUCAAUUCGGAAUGCAUAAUCAGGAGGCGAGAGAGGAGGAAAAAAAAUGGAGAACGAGAAAACUACCACGUGUGCGAGGUCCGGGCCAGGUCGAACAUAAAUAAUGCAUCAGGCAUUGUGCGCCGCGCCUCCCUGCAUACAAUACUUCUCAAGCGAUGCAUUCUAUUGUUAUCUUUCGAAAUAAACUCAGCUCAUCGGAGUUAGCUCUUCGGUGCAGUGCAUGAUAUUUCGAAUAACAUAAUACGUAUUAUACGCACUAUAAGUGGACUGAAAAAUAACACAGGUUCACUCAUAAAAAGCCACAAAUAAAUAC